CCCUGACUGGCUCAGUCAGUAGAGCAUACGACUCUUGAUCUCAGGGUUGUGAGUUCAAUCCUCAUGUUGGGCA
rnacentral:tRNA from 1 species